rnacentral:rRNA from 1 species
AUGCAAGUCGAGGGGCAGCGCGGGUAGCAAUACCUGGCGGCGACCGGCAAACGGGUGCGGAACACGUACGCAACCUUCCCAAAACUGGGGAGUAGCCCUCCGAAAGGAGGAUUAAUACCCCGUAACAUAAUGAAGAGGCAUCUCUUUAUUAUUAUAGCUCAGGCGGUUUUGGAUGGGCGUGCGGCUGAUUAGGUAGUUGGCGGGGUAACGGCCCACCAAGCCUGCGAUCAGUAACUGGUGUGAGAGCACGACCAGUCACACGGGCACUGAGACACGGGCCCGACUCCUACGGGAGGCAGCAGUAAGGAAUAUUGGUCAAUGGACGCAAGUCUGAACCAGCCAUGCCGCGUGAAGGAUGAAGGUCCUCUGGAUUGUAAACUUCUUUUAUCUGGGACGAAAAAAGGGAAUUCUUUCUCACUUGACGGUACCAGAGGAAUAAGCACCGGCUAACUCCGUGCCAGCAGCCGCGGUAAUACGGAGGGUGCAAGCGUUAUCCGGAUUUACUGGGUUUAAAGGGUGCGUAGGUGGGCAGUUAAGUCAGUGGUGAAAUCUUCGAGCUCAACUCGGAAACUGCCAUUGAUACUAUCUGUCUUGAAUAUCCUGGAGGUGAGCGGAAUAUGUCAUGUAGCGGUGAAAUGCUUAGAUAUGACAUAGAACACCAAUUGCGAAGGCAGCUCACUACGGGAUGAUUGACACUGAGGCACGAAAGCGUGGGGAUCAAACAGGAUUAGAUACCCUGGUAGUCCACGCCCUAAACGAUGGAUACUCGACAUACGCGAUACACUGUGUGUGUCUGAGCGAAAGCAUUAAGUAUCCCACCUGGGAAGUACGA